rnacentral:rRNA from 1 species
AACGAACGCUGGCGGCAUGCCUAACACAUGCAAGUCGAACGAGAACUGCGGUUCUGGUGCCGCAGGGGGGCGUAACGCGGGGGAAUCUGCCCUUAGGUUCCGAAUAACUGGGGGAAAGGGGGGCAAAUCCCGGAUAAUAUCGUCGGACCAAAGAGUAGUAGAGUUUGGGUGGGCCCGCGCUGGAUCAGCCAGUUGGGAGGGUAAGAGCCUACCAAGGCGACGAUCCAUAGCUGGUCUGAGAGGAUGAUCAGCCACACUUGCGGUGAGAUGCAGCCCAGAAUCUUGCAGGAUGCAGCAAUGGGGGAUCUAGGCCAAUGGGCGGAAGCCUGAACGAGCUAUGGCUGGUAACUGAUGAAGGCCGUAACGUAGUGCAGCUCUUUUAUACAGGAUGAUAAUGACAGUACCGGAAGAAUAAGCUCCGGCUAACUCCGUG